AUAGCAUGUCAGAAGGCAGACCCGGAGAACUGAAACAUCUUAGUACCCGGAGGAAGAGAAAGAAAAAUCGAUUCCCUGAGUAGCGGCGAGCGAAACGGGAAGAGCCCAAACCAACAAGCUUGCUUGUUGGGGUUGUAGGACACUCUAUACGGAGUUACAAAAGAACAUGUUAGACGAAUCAUCUGGAAAGAUGAAUCAAAGAAGGUAAUAAUCCUGUAGUCGAAAACAUAUUCUCUCUUGAGUGGAUCCUGAGUACGACGGAGCACGUGAAAUUCCGUCGGAAUCUGGGAGGACCAUCUCCUAAGGCUAAAUACUCUCUAGUGACCGAUAGUGAACCAGUACCGUGAGGGAAAGGUGAAAAGUACCCCGGAAGGGGAGUGAAAGAGAACUUGAAACCGUGUGCUUACAAGUAGUCAGAGCCCGUUAAUGGGUGAUGGCGUGCCUUUUGUAGAAUGAACCGGCGAGUUACGAUCUGAUGCAAGGUUAAGCAGCAAAUGUGGAGCCGCAGCGAAAGCGAGUCUGAAUAGGGCGUUGAGUAUUUGGUCGUAGACCCGAAACCAGGUGAUCUACCCUUGGUCAGGUUGAAGUUCAGGUAACACUGAAUGGAGGACCGAACCGACUUACGUUGAAAAGUGAGCGGAUGAACUGAGGGUAGCGGAGAAAUUCCAAUCGAACUUGGAGAUAGCUGGUUCUCUCCGAAAUAGCUUUAGGGCUAGCCUCAAGUGAUGAUUAUUGGAGGUAGAGCACUGUUUGGACGAGGGGCCCCUCUCGGGUUACCGAAUUCAGACAAACUCCGAAUGCCAAUUAAUUUAACUUGGGAGUCAGAACAUGGGUGAUAAGGUCCGUGUUCGAAAGGGAAACAGCCCAGACCACCAGCUAAGGUCCCAAAAUAUAUGUUAAGUGGAAAAGGAUGUGGCGUUGCCCAGACAACUAGGAUGUUGGCUUAGAAGCAGCCAUCAUUUAAAGAGUGCGUAAUAGCUCACUAGUCGAGUGACACUGCGCCGAAAAUGUACCGGGGCUAAACAUAUUACCGAAGCUGUGGAUUGUCCUUUGGACAAUGGUAGGAGAGCGUUCUAAGGGCGUCGAAGCAUGAUCGCAAGGACAUGUGGAGCGCUUAGAAGUGAGAAUGCCGGUGUGAGUAGCGAAAGACGGGUGAGAAUCCCGUCCACCGAUUGACUAAGGUUUCCAGAGGAAGGCUCGUCCGCUCUGGGUUAGUCGGGUCCUAAGCUGAGGCCGACAGGCGUAGGCGAUGGAUAACAGGUUGAUAUUCCUGUACCACCUAGUAUCGUUUUAAUCGAUGGGGGGACGCAGUAGGAUAGGCGAAGCGUGCUGUUGGAGUGCACGUCCAAGCAGUAAGGCUGAGUGUUAGGCAAAUCCGGCACUCAUAAGGCUGAGCUGUGAUGGGGAGAGGAAAUUGUUUCCUCGAGUCGCUGAUUUCACACUGCCGAGAAAAGCCUCUAGAUAGAUAACAGGUGCCCGUACCGCAAACCGACACAGGUAGUCAAGAUGAGAAUUCUAAGGUGAGCGAGCGAACUCUCGUUAAGGAACUCGG
rnacentral:rRNA from 1 species